AUUGAACGCUGGCGGCAUGCCUUACACAUGCAAGUCGAACGGUAACAGGUCUUCGGAUGCUGACGAGUGGCGAACGGGUGAGUAAUACAUCGGAACGUGCCUAGUAGUGGGGGAUAACUACUCGAAAGAGUGGCUAUUACCGCAUGAGAUCUACGGAUGAAAGCAGGGGAUCGCAAGACCUUGUGCUACUAGAGCGGCCGAUGGCAGAUUAGGUAGUUGGUGGGAUAAAAGCUUACCAAGCCGACGAUCUGUAGCUGGUCUGAGAGGACGAUCAGCCACACUGGGACUGAGACACGGCCCAGACUCCUACGGGAGGCAGCAGUGGGGAAUUUUGGACAAUGGGCGAAAGCCUGAUCCAGCAAUGCCGCGUGCAGGAUGAAGGCCUUCGGGUUGUAAACUGCUUUUGUACGGAACGAAAAGCCCCGGGUUAAUACCCUGGGGUCAUGACGGUACCGUAGGAAUAAGCACCGGCUAACUACGUGCCAGCCGCCGCGGUAA
rnacentral:rRNA from 1 species